GUGUCAGCAGCCGCGGUAAUACGUAGGGUGCAAGCGUUGCCCGGAUUUAUUGGGCGUAAAGGGCGCGUAGGCGGCUCGGCACGUCCGUUGUGAAAUCGCCCGGCUCAACUGGGCGGGGUCAGCGGAUACGGUCGAGCUUGAGCAAGCUAGGGGGCAAUGGAAUUCCCGGUGUAGUGGUGGAAUGCGUAGAUAUCGGGAGGAACACCAGUGGCGAAGGCGGUUGCCUGGGGCUUUGCUGACGCUGAUGCGCGAAAGCGUGGGGAGCGAUCCGGAUUAGAUACCCGGGUAGUCCACGCCGUAAACGAUGUCGACUAGGUGUCGGGGGUAUCGACCCCCUCGGCGCCGCAGCUAACGCAUUAAGUCGACCGCCUGGGGACUACGGCCGCAAGGCUAAA
rnacentral:rRNA from 1 species